UCUCGGCUUAUCACCGGCAGUCCCCCUAGAGUGCCCAACUGAAUGAUGGCAACUAGGGGCGAGGGUUGCGCUCGUUGCGGGACUUAACCCAACAUCUCACGACACGAGCUGACGACAGCCAUGCAGCACCUGUCUCGCGAUUCCCGAAGGCACCCGGGCAUUUCUGCCCAGUUCCGCGGAUGUCAAGGCCAGGUAAGGUUCUUCGCGUUGCAUCGAAUUGAACCACAUGCUCCACCGCUUGUGCGGGUCCCCGUCAAUUCCUUUGAGUUUUAAUCUUGCGACCGUACUCCCCAGGCGGGAAGCUUAAUGCGUUAGCUGCGCCACCGACAAGUAAACUUGCCGACAGCUGGCUUCCAUCGUUUACGGCGUGGACUAC
rnacentral:misc_RNA from 1 species